rnacentral:rRNA from 1 species
GCAAGUCUGGUGCCAGCAGCCGCGGUAAUUCCAGCUCCAAUAGCGUAUAUUAAAGUUGUUGCAGUUAAAAAGCUCGUAGUUGAACCUUGGGCCUGGCUGGCCGGUCCGCCUCACCGCGUGUACUGGUCCGGCCGGGCCUUUCCUCCUGGGGAGCCGCAUGCCCUUCACUGGGUGUGUCGGGGAACCAGGACUUUUACUUUGAAAAAAUUAGAGUGUUCAAAGCAGGCCUAUGCUCGAAUACAUUAGCAUGGAAUAAUAGAAUAGGACGUGUGGUUCUAUUUUGUUGGUUUCUAGGACCGCCGUAAUGAUUAAUAGGGAUAGUCGGGGGCAUCAGUAUUCAAUUGUCAGAGGUGAAAUUCUUGGAUUUAUUGAAGACUAACUACUGCGAAAGCAUUUGCCAA